UCCCUAGUGGCUCAGGUGGUAAAGCGUCUGCCUGCAAUGCGGAAGACCCGGGGUUUGAUCCCUGGGUUGGGAA
rnacentral:tRNA from 1 species